GGGUCAGGAAAAACAGUUCUAGCGUUUCAGAUUUGGAGGCAGAUGCAUAAUGUUAGAUGUACGAUGUUUUGUACAGAUAUACGUUUCAUUAUCACAUCAUCAUCUUAUUUAGUGUAUGAUGCAUGCAUCUACAAAAACUUGAAGGAAGUGAUAAAAGGAAACAACUCAUUGAGUAACUUCAGUUUUCUGAUGAUCUGACAGACAGACGGAGUGAAGAGACACACUGUUCUUCUGAAGUUUAACAACUUUUCUGCAUCAGGAUCAAAGUCAGAAUGAAAAUCCUCCAUUUUCUAUUUUUCUGCUUCUUUUCAGAUCCAGCUCGGCUCGUCAAGGCAAAACAUAAUAUCUGGUCUGCUGCUGAAAGAGCAAAUGGUACACUUAGCUGCAACUUAUUUUUGUCUGGAAGCACAAAGUUUUUCUGCAAGGAAAAAUGUGUGCGAGCAGAAGAUACCCUCAUUAAAACAGAUGGAAGCACAGCUCAGAGUGGGAGAUUCAGCAUUAAAUAUGAAGAUGGAGCUUCAGGAAGUGGAACUUUGCUUUUGUUCUUCACACACCUGAUCAAGUCUGACUCAGGAAUGUACAGGUGUGCUUUGGGAAGCUCUUCUGUUCCAGAUUCUUACUAUGACUUUGAGGUCAGAGUUUCAAAUGAUCUGGAUAAAAAUGCUGGUUUUUAUCGCACCGAAACUGAAGGAGAAAAGAUCACAAUGGCAUGUUCCAACAACACAUAUGGACACAGGAAGUUCUUAUGUAAGAAUCAGUGUAAGAAUGAAGGGGAGAUCCUCAUUGACACAACUAAUAACAAAUCUGUGAGUGGCAGAUAUGAAAUUGAAUACAGACCAGGAUCCAUGUAUGGACUGUAUAUGAACAUCAGAAAGCUGACCAAGUCAGACACAGGAUGGUACUUGUGUGGGUAUGGAAACCCUCUGUCUCCUGAUUCAUACGCCAGAGAAUAUGUUCUUGUCAUUGAUGAUACAAACCCAGUUAUUUCCACACCACAAGGAACAACACAGAGUGAAAGUGUCACUCCAGGAGUCUCUACACAUGGUCCUGACUCCUCCUGGCUUCUGGUUGUGCGUGUGUCCUUGGAUGGUGUUUUGCUGAUGGCUGUUUUCCUCAUGCUCUUCUACAUUAGUAAGACAAGGAGGAACUUUGGACUGAACACCAGAGAAAAUGACACAAACAUGGAGUUAUCUGUCGGGUAUGAGAACUGGGAUCCAGCCUCCAAACAUGAUGAGUCCAAAAGCAGCAGGACCAAACCUACUCUGUAUUAUUAAAGACCAAAAUGUAAAAAGUAAAAAUUAAAUUUGACCAUCUACUCCCCGGGGUUAUCUGCUCUUCGAGGUUUGUUCCAUUUUGAUAUUUUUGGACCUAUAUCUGAUAUUUCAUGAUCACCUCCCAUAUAAUUUGCAUCACUAGGCUUCAUUUUGUUCCUGUUAUUCAAAUGCAUACACAUAUUGACACAGUUAAUUACAGACAUGGAAAGUAACAAAGUUUUUCAUUUUUUUUAAAAUGUUUUCAUAAAGAACAGCUGAUGUACUAGGUUGACUCCUUUUCCACCAUCAUUUCAUUUUCAUAUUUUUUAACAUAUUUCUGUAAUUUCAUAAUCAGCUCUCAUAUAAUUUACUUCACUGUGUUCCUUGCUGUAUAAUAGCUGUAUUUAAAUGUAGCAUGUAAAACUGAUUCAAUGUUAUGAUAAAGAAGAACAUAGUCUCUGUUUUGCAGUAAGGUUUUUGCUUUCUUUGAAGUUAUUCUUCCCCAAAAUUAACUGUAACUGAAACAGGUUUUACACAUUUGGUUUUAUUUCAUACAUUUUUGUUUUUAUUUUCAUGUAUGUGCUUACUUAUGCAAUGUAUUUGAAACUACUAGCUUCUGUUAGAAGGUGCAGAAAAAUUAAACAUAUUUUGAAAAUGCAAAAUAAUGUGAUGGUUCCUUAAAUGAAUUAGACACAUACAGAGUGCUCUACAAUGAUAAGUCUGUGCUAUUCAGGAAAACAAGAAACGAUAAAACAAACAGGGGAAAUACAAUCGAUAGUUGGAGCAGGAGUCUGAUUAAGGGAUGUCCAAAUGGUCAACAGCAUUUACUAAACAGUUUUUUCGACCUGUGGUAGCUGAUCCUGAUGAGGAUAACUGGAAGAGGAUGAAGAGAUGAAUUGAAAUUCUGAGCCAUGACAGCAGCCUUGAUCCACAGGGGAUGAAGUCAGAUGUAGAGAUCACUGUUAAAUGGGAACUGAUAAUAACUGAUUAUCCAGGCUGGUGUCAGGGCCUUUACAUAAGCAGCUCCUCUGUUGAUCCUUUUGUUUUUGUGUUUAUUUUUUUUAAAUAAACAAUUGUUAUGUUCAGGUGUUCAAUCGAUCUGUAGUAAUUAAGGUAGCUGGUAAUAAACUGUUCACACAC
ensembl:lncRNA